rnacentral:rRNA from 1 species
GAGGCUUCUGAUGCUUAUUGCACCACAUGUGUUUUUCUUUGAAACAAACUUGCUUUGGCGGUGGGCCCAGCCUGCCGCCAGAGGUCUAAACUUACAACCAAUUUUUUAUCAACUUGUCACACCAGAUUAUUACUAAUAGUCAAAACUUUCAACAACGGAUCUCUUGGUUCUCGCAUCGAUGAAGAACGCAGCGAAAUGCGAUACGUAAUAUGAAUUGCAGAUAUUCGUGAAUCAUCGAAUCUUUGAACGCACAUUGCGCCCUCUGGUAUUCCGGAGGGCAUGCCUGUUUGAGCGUCGUUUCUCCCUCAAACCGCUGGGUUUGGUGUUGAGCAAUACGACUUGGGUUUGCUUGAAAGACGGUAGUGGUAAGGCGGGAUCGCUUUGACAAUGGCUUAGGUCUAACCAAAAACAUUGCUUGCGGCGGUAACGUCUACCACGUAUAUCUUCAAACUUUGACCUCAAAUCAGGUAGGACUACCCGCUGAACUUAAGCAUAUCAAAAGCCGGAGGAA